GGGGCAUAGCUCGAGGAAACUCGAAUUAAUUCCCCAUAGUACAUUAUAAUAUCUCAUGAUAUAAAUGUUAAAGAUUUAUCGGUUAAAGAUGGGCAUGCGUCUGAUUAGUUUGUUGGUAAGGUAACGGCUUACCAAGACUACGAUCAGUAGGGGGUCUGAGAGGAUGAUCCCCCACACUGGUACUGAGACACGGACCAGACAUCUACGGAUGGCAGCAGUAAGGAAUAUUGGGCAAUGGGCGCAAGCCUGACCCAGCCAUGCCGCGUGCAGGAUGACGACCCUAUGGGUUGUAAACUGCUUUUAUAUAGGA
rnacentral:rRNA from 1 species